AACGAACGCUGGCGGCAGGCUUAACACAUGCAAGUCGAACGCUCGUAGCAAUACGGGAGUGGCGGACGGGUGAGUAACGCGUGGGAACGUGCCCUGAGGUACGGAAUAACUGCGGGAAACUGCAGCUAAUACCGUAUGAGCCCCGUGAGGGGAAGAUUUAUCGCCUUAGGAGCGGCCCGCGUCGGAUUAGCUAGUUGGUGGGGUAACGGCUUACCAAGGCUUCGAUCCGUAGCUGGUCUGAGAGGACGAUCAGCCACACUGGGACUGAGACACGGCCCAGACUCCUACGGGAGGCAGCAGUGGGGAAUCUUGCGCAAUGGGGGCAACCCUGACGCAGCCAUGCCGCGUGAAUGAUGAAGGCCUUAGGGUUGUAAAGUUCUUUUGCCCGUGACGAUGAUGACGGUAACGGGAGAAUAAGCUCCGGCUAACUUCGUG
rnacentral:rRNA from 1 species